CGCGUAUACAAUUUACCUUUUACAGGAGAAUAGCCCAGAGAAAUUUGGAUUAAUGCUCCAUGGCAUUAUGGUGUGGCAUCGCACUAUAAUUAAAGUUCCGAUGGUAGAAGAUGAGUAUGCGUCCUAUUAGCUAGAUGGUAAGGUAACGGCUUACCAUGGCGACGAUAGGUAGGGGUCCUGAGAGGGAGAUCCCCCACACUGGUACUGAGACACGGACCAGACUCCUACGGGAGGCAGCAGUGAGGAAUAUUGGGCAAUGGAGGCAACUCUGACCCAGCCAUGCCGCGUGCAGGAAGACUGCCCUAUGGGUUGUAAACUGCUUUUAUACAGGAAGAAACCUUUCCAUGCGUGGAGAGCUGACGGUACUGUACGAAUAAGGACCGGCUAACUCCGUGCCAG
rnacentral:rRNA from 1 species